UCAAGUGACUAAGUGCAUGUGGCGGAUGCCUUGGCGAUCACAGGCGAAGAAAGACGCGGCAGCCUGCGAAAAGCUGCGGGGAGCUGGCAAACGAGCUUUGAUCCGCAGAUAUCUGAAUGGGGGAACCCACACCGCAAGGUGUAUCCGUGACUGAAUACAUAGGUUACGGAGGCGAACGAGGAGAACUGAAACAUCUAAGUAUCCUCAGGAAAAGAAAUCAACCGAGAUUCCGGCAGUAGCGGCGAGCGAACCCGGAGGAGCCUAGCUUUUGAUAGUACGAACUUUAGCCGAAAGGUCCUGGAAAGGCCUGCUAUAGUGGGUGAUAGCCCCGUAGGCGAAAGAGUUCGUAUGGUACUAAGGAAGCGAGAAGUAGAGCGGGACACGUGGAAUCCUGUUCGAAGAUGGGGGGACCAUCCUCCAAGGCUAAAUACUCGUGAUCGACCGAUAGUGAACCAGUACCGUGAGGGAAAGGCGAAAAGAACCCCGGGAGGGGAGUGAAAUAGAACCUGAAACCGCAUGCAUACAAACAGUAGGAGCCUCACCAGAGGUGACUGCGUACCUUUUGCAUAAUGGGUCAGCGACUUACAUUCUGUGGCGAGCUUAACCGAAUAGGGGAGGCGCAGCGAAAGCGAGUUCGAAAUGAGCGUCCAGUCGCAGGGUGUAGACCCGAAACCAGAUGAGCUAUCCAUGGCCAGGUUGAAGGUGUGGUAACACACACUGGAGGACCGAACCGACUAGUGUUGCAAAAUUAGCGGAUGAGCUGUGGAUAGGGGUGAAAGGCCAAACAAAUCUGGAGAUAGCUGGUUCUCCCCGAAAACUAUUGAGGUAGUGCCUCGUGUGUCGCUCCAGGGGGUAGAGCACUGUUUUGGCUAGGGGGACAUGGAGUCUUACCAAACCAAGGCAAACUCCGAAUACCUGGAAGCGUAAGCACGGGAGACAGAGCACCGGGUGCUAACGUCCGGACUCAAAAGGGAAACAACCCAGACCGCCGGCUAAGGUCCCCAAUAACAGCUAAGUGGAAAACGAAGUGGAAAGGCCGUGACAACCAGGAAGUUGGCUUAGAAGCAGCCAUCCUUCAAAGAAAGCGUAAUAGCUCACUGGUCGAGUCCUUCUGCGCGGAAGAUGUAACGGGGCUAAGCUGUUAACCGAAGCCGCGGAUGCACUGAUUAUUCAGUGCGUGGUAGGGGAGCGUUCUGUAAGUCUGCGAAGGCGGUUCGAGAGGACUGCUGGAGAUAUCAGAAGUGCGAAUGCUGACAUGAGUAACGUUAAAGCAGGUGAAAAGCCUGCUCGCCGUAAGCCCAAGGAUUCCUGCUCUACGUUCAUCGGAGCAGGGUGAGUCGGCUCCUAAGGUCAGGCCGAAAGGCGUAGCCGAUGGGAAUCAGGUUAAUAUUCCUGAACCUGCGUCAGAUGCGAUGGGGGGACGGAGCAUGAAAGAUCAUCCGGGUGUUGGAUGUCCCGGUUGACGAGCGUAGGAGGUCUGCAGGCAAAUCCGCAGACGCAUCUCCAAGGCAAAGACACGUGCCGCCACGGCGGCGAAGUGAUCGGAAGUGCUUCCAAGAAAAGCCUCUAAGCACCAGUCUGGCGCGGACCGUACCGCAAACCGACACUGGUGGGCGAGCUGAAUAUGCUCAGGCGCUUGAGAGAACUCGGGAGAAGGAACUCGGCAAAUUGACACCGUAACUUCGGAAGAAGGUGUGCCGCAGUAGCGUGAGAGGAGAAACACCUCAAGCGUGAGACGGUCUCAGAGAAUAGGUGGCUGCGACUGUUUAUUAAAAACACAGCACUCUGCAAAGUCGAAAGACGACGUAUAGGGUGUGAUGCCUGCCCGGUGCUGGAAGAUUAAUUGAUGGGGUGAGAGCCCUUGAUCGAAGUCCCAGUAAACGGCGGCCGUAACUAUAACGGUCCUAAGGUAGCGAAAUUCCUUGUC
rnacentral:rRNA from 1 species